rnacentral:lncRNA from 10 species
GGGGCCUGCCUGCCGUCCAGCUCUCGAGACCACGGCGAGAUGAACUUUCAAAUCAGCUUCUCAAGUGUCAACAUCCUGUUGCGAUUUUCAUUGAUAUUGAACUGAAUUUAUAGAUUUUGUAAGCAGAAAAAAAUUAUUUUAAUUUUUUGAGAAAAAAAGUUUUAAAUGGUUUGUUUUCAGACUGUGUCAAGAUAUCCCUACCUCCGAAGUUGUCAGGUUUGCGGACCUUGGGGUGAAGCGUGGGGCUGCUGGAGGCGUCCAGCCCUGACUGUGUGUCCAGGACAAUGAGCCCCGAAGUGAGCGGGCCGCGUCCUGUUGGCGCAGCCAACUUCACGCCCUCUGUCCAGGGAGGACUAAGGGACAAGCUGCAGCAGGCGCAGAGGACGCUGUUGGUGUCCGGGAGGCCGCUGGUACAGGGCGUUGGGCGUGGCUCCUUUCCAAGUGCCUUGCACUUUCCAGGCUGGGCUGCAGAAGCAGGCUCGGGGGCGACUCGCGUGGGGACUGAAGCAGCCAGCCUUGGCACCUGCCCACAGCAAAUAACUGCCUUGACUUGAUCUGGUUUUUUUGAAGAAAGGUUUAUUCAUACCCAUUAUGUGCGCAUGUGUAAAUUCAAACCCACGGCUUGCCGGAGCCUGGGCUUUCUCGAACAUCAGUUGCUCCCAUGCUACCAUUUUGCAGUUUGCCCGUCUCCAGUAGAUGAUUUCUGAAUAUUUUAAUCAACUCAUUAUUAACCAUUCACACGUCUACCUUAGCCUCAUUUUAAGCAAUUGCACCUGUGGGUUUCACAGGCCUGCUGUAUUUUUAGUACAUAUUAAAUAAAGCAUGUCUGUUGGGGCGUGC